rnacentral:sRNA from 1 species
UCUCUGAUUCACCCAUUAAG